AUUGAACGCUGGCGGCAGGCCUAACACAUGCAAGUCGAGCGAGCGGCGGACGGGUGAGUAAUGUAUGGGGACUGCCCGAUAGAGGGGGAUAACUACUGGAAACGGUAGCUAAUACCGCAUACUAUCGGAUAACCCAUAUGGGAUUAGCUAGUAGGUGAGGUAAUGGCUCACCUAGGCGACGAUCCCUAGCUGGUCUGAGAGGAUGAGCAGCGACACUGGGACGUGGACACGGCCCAGAAUCCUACGGAGGCAGCAGGGGGGAAUAUUGCACAAUGGGCGCAAGCCUGAUGCAGCCAUGCCGCGUGUAUGAAGAAGGCCCUAGGGUUGUAAAGUACUUUCAGUCGGGAGGCGUUACCGACAGAAGAAGCACCGGCUAACUCCGUGCCAGCAGCCGCGGUAAUAC
rnacentral:rRNA from 1 species